rnacentral:tRNA from 1 species
GCCGUGAUCGUAUAGUGGUUAGUACUUUGCGUUGUGGCCGCAACAACCCCGGUUCGAAUCCGGGGUCACGGCA